rnacentral:rRNA from 1 species
CCUGCGGAAGGAUCAUUACUGAGUGAGGGCCCUCUGGGUCCAACCUCCCACCCGUGUUUAUUGUACCUUGUUGCUUCGGCGGGCCCGCCUUUAUGGCCGCCGGGGGGCUCACGCCCCCGGGCCCGCGCCCGCCGAAGACACCUCGAACUCUGUCUGAAGAUUGUAGUCUGAGUGAAAAUAUAAAUUAUUUAAAACUUUCAACAACGGAUCUCUUGGUUCCGGCAUCGAUGAAGAACGCAGCGAAAUGCGAUACGUAAUGUGAAUUGCAGAAUUCAGUGAAUCAUCGAGUCUUUGAACGCACAUUGCGCCCCCUGGUAUUCCGGGGGGCAUGCCUGUCCGAGCGUCAUUGCUGCCCUCAAGCACGGCUUGUGUGUUGGGCCCCGUCCUCCGAUUCCGGGGGACGGGCCCGAAAGGCAGCGGCGGCACCGCGUCCGGUCCUCGAGCGUAUGGGGCUUUGUCACCCGCUCUGUAGGCCCGGCCGGCGCUUGCCGAUCAACCCAAAUUUUUAUCCAGGUUGACCUCGGAUCAGGUAGGGAUACCCGCUGAACUUAAGCAUAUCAAUAAGCCG